rnacentral:rRNA from 1 species
UAAAAAUGUAAAAGUUUUAAUUAAAAAAUUAAUAGUUAAGUUCUUUAAAUUUAAAAAAUUUGGCGGUAUUUUAGUCUAUUCAGAGGAACCUGUUCUAUAAUUGAUAAUCCACGAUUAGAAGUACUUAAUUUAAAAAUUUGUAUAUCGUUGUUUAAAUGAUUUUAUAAGAAAGAAAAUUAUUGUAAAAUUAAAUUAGAUAAAUAAUCAAAUCAAGGUGCAGUUUAUAGUUAAGAAGAAAUGGGUUACAAUAAAAAUUAUUUAUAUGAAUUAUAUUAUUAAAUUAAUAUAUAAAGGAGGAUUUGAUAGUAAAUAUAUAUAUAUAUAUAUAUUGAUUAUAGCUCUAUAAUAUGU